rfam:Ailuropoda melanoleuca scaffold1311_2, whole genome shotgun sequence.
GUCUACAGCCAUACCACUCUGAACAUGCCCAGUCUCAUGUGAUCCUGGAAGCUAAGCAGGGUCGGGCCAGGUUAGUACUUGGAUGGGAAAUAAGUACACAUUAAAAU